rnacentral:rRNA from 1 species
UACGAAGGGGGCUAGCGUUGCUCGGAAUCACUGGGCGUAAAGGGCGCGUAGGCGGCCAUUCAAGUCGGAGGUGAAAGCCCAGGGCUCAACCCUGGAAUUGCCUUUCGAUACUGUCUGGCUAGAGACCGGAAGAGGUAAGUGGAACUGCGAGUGUAGAGGUGAAAUUCGUAGAUAUUCGCAAGAACACCAGUGGCGAAGGCGGCUUACUGGUCCGGUUCUGACGCUGAGGCGCGAAAGCGUGGGGGAGCAAACAGG